UCAGCUUGUUGGUGAGGUAAUGGCUCACCAAGGCGACGACGGGUAGCCGGCCUGAGAGGGCGACCGGCCACACUGGGACUGAGACACGGCCCAGACUCUACGGGAGGCAGCAGUGGGGAAUAUUGCACAAUGGGCGAAAGCCUGAUGCAGCGACGCCGCGUGAGGGAUGACGGCCUUCGGGUUGUAAACCUCUUUCAGCAGGGAAGAAGCGAAAGUGACGGUACCUGCAGAAGAAGCGCCGGCUAACUACGUGCCAGCAGCCGCGGUAAUACGUAGGGCGCAAGCGUUGUCCGGAAUUAUUGGGCGUAAAGAGCUCGUAGGCGGCUUGUCACGUCGAUUGUGAAAGCUCGGGGCUUAACCCCGAGUCUGCAGUCGAUACGGGCUAGCUAGAGUGUGGUAGGGGAGAUCGGAAUUCCUGGUGUAGCGGUGAAAUGCGCAGAUAUCAGGAGGAACACCGGUGGCGAAGGCGGAUCUCUGGGCCAUUACUGACGCUGAGGAGCGAAAGCGUGGGGAGCGAACAGGAUUAGAUACCCUGGUAGUCCACGCCGUAAACGGUGGGAACUAGGUGUUGGCGACAUUCCACGUCGUCGGUGCCGCAGCUAACGCAUUAAGUUCCCCGCCUGGGGAGUACGGCCGCAAGGCUAAAACUCAAAGGAAUUGACGGGGGCCCGCACAAGCGGCGGAGCAUGUGGCUUAAUUCGACGCAACGCGAAGAACCUUACCAAGGCUUGACAUACACCGGAAAGCAUUAGAGAUAGUGCCCCCCUUGUGGUCGGUGUACAGGUGGUGCA
rnacentral:rRNA from 1 species